AUGCUGGGAGGCCUGGGGAAGCUGGCUGCCGAGGGCCUGGCCCACCGCACCGAGAAGGCCACCUAGGGAGCCAUUCAUGCCGUGGAGGAAGUGGUGAAGGAGGUGGUGGGACAUGCCAAGGAGACUGGAGAGAAAGCCAUUGCUGAAGCCAUAAAGAAAGCCCAGGAGUCAGGGGACAAAAAGAUGAAGGAAAUCACCGAGACAGUGACCAACACAGUCACAAAUGCCAUCACCCAUGCAGCAGAAAGUCUGGACAAACUUGGACAGUGAGUGCACCUGCUACCACGGCCCUUCCCCAGUCUCAAUAAAAAGCCAUGACGUGUA
rnacentral:lncRNA from 1 species